GGUGUGCGAUAGACUUACCUCCACGUGGUGCACACUGGGCAACGUAUACUCAUGUGGCAAAAAAGUCUGU
rfam:Hymenolepis nana genome assembly, scaffold: HNAJ_contig0002276